UACUUUUAUUUCCUUUUUUUAAAUCCCUCAAUCGUUUAUUUGUUCUUUUUUUCUUAGUUAAAAGUAAUAUACAAAAUAUUAAAAUAAUAAAAAUAAUAAAACAAUUCUGUCACAAAUGCAAAAGCAGUUUAUAUUUAUAAAAAUGAUCAAAAAAAUCAUUUGAAAAUGAAAAAUGUCAUUUCUGGAUAUGAAUUUAUAGGAGUUCAAAUUUGGAAAUGCUGAGUCAGAACUAAGCGGUGUUCCUGCUGAACACACACUCGUGCAGGAUCAGCUUUCUGCAUAACAAGAAACAUAAAAAUUCAGGGGAUUUUUCCAGAUGAACAAACUGAGCCGUAUUUGUGUCUCAGUGCGGUUGCCGAGCAACCAGCAGAGUACAAGCACAGGUGUUAUUCAUAAAAUACAUGAUAAAUGGCUGAAAUUGAUUUAGUCGCUUCAGCUUCAAGGUCUUGUUUUCCCAGAAUCACACUCAUGCUGUCACAAUGGGCCAGCAGAAUGCAGAGAAAUCUUUGGUAAUGAUAUUAGUGACAUGUGUUUGAGUGUCUGCGGCGAGAACGGAACGUCAGGAGGAUGACAUGAUCAUCAUCCAGACAGUCCGUAUCCACCCAUAAGGACAGUUGUGACCAACCCUGCACUUCCACGGAUAGGGUAACGGCUCCGAUGUUCAGAAGAACGACCAAUAAAUGCCAGAAAAAGAAAGAAGAAACAAACCUCACAAAGGAAAUACACGGCCUUCAAGAUUGAAAACAUGUAUUUGUGCCCUGCUGGAACCCAAGAGACAAAAUUUACAACUUUUGUUCCUGACCUGUAGUGGGACUUAGUGACAUUCCAGACUGUUCCAACCAUGAGGAAUUCCUCCUGCACCCUCUCUUUAAAAGGAGUUUUUUUAGUCAAAGUCCACAUAACCUGUAUGACGACUAUUUUCUCACCCAAAGUCCUUGUUUUUCACUGCAUGUCCCCUGAUCUGUUCAUAUUUGUUUGCUUUUCUUGCAUUGUAAAACAUAACAGGCCAUUUAUGGAUAUAGCAAUAAAACUGCUUUAAUCUGCAGUGCUUUGUGGAG